ACUAACACUCUAAUAAGAGACGAAUGUCAUGAUUAUAUUGACAAAAAUGUGAAACGAAAUAACAAAUAAAACAAUGCGACCGUUUCACGUGCAUAAAUAAACACUAUGGAAACACAUAUUUCCUCGUUAUUUGAAUAAUGUAAAUGUUCAUUUUCAGAGAAAACAUCUACUAUGAAUCAUACAAAAACAUUAGAGUUUAAACGGACAACAUACUAAAAAGUGAUAAAAGAACAUUUUUGGAAUGGAUAAACACGAGUUCUUUUAAUGAUGAUGCACAUGUUGGAAGAUAAUAACGUAACAUGAUAAAUAGUGAAGGAAUAUUUGGUCAAAAAUGGAAGAAUCGAUCUGGUACGAAUAUAAAUACAUGCAUAUGUAGCACAGUUAUGGGAAAGUAUGUGAACAUGGAGAGUCAUAGAACAGUUAAAAAGUAAGAUUCGAUUAUCAGAGCGAUUGUUUCACCGUUACAGGGGUUCAGGUACGGUAGGAAACCAUACAACGCUGUUAAAGAAAAUAUCUAGUGUCGAAGGGACUACGUGCUUUCGAAAGAAAAGGGCUUCCUUGCGCGAAAAAUGAUUAAAUUUAUCUCGCUAAUAAAAGGAGUUGAGGAAAGUCAAGCUGUUCAAUUUUUUAUUUUUACAAACUAUUUCCUUGUUUCCGAGGCAUAAAAUAUCAUAACCAUUCUUAUACGUGCCCUAGCAAUAAAUUGGAUCAUAAAAUUGACCAUUAAGUAACAAUUACGACUAACUCUCUUUUGGUUGUUAUUUUAUACAAUAUGUAUGUGGAUUACAUUAGGAAAAAAUCAGUGCAAAUUAAUGUAAAAAUGAAUGUAAUAAAAAACUAAUUUAUUGCAAAUGAUAGAUUGUAGUGUUCGUAUAUUCGUUGAAC
rnacentral:misc_RNA from 1 species